rnacentral:rRNA from 1 species
UACGAAGGGGGCAAGCGUUGUUCGGAAUUAUUGGGCGUAAAGGGCGCGUAGGCGGUUUGACAAGUCUGAUGUGAAAUCUCUGGGCUCAACCCAGAGUCUGCAUUAGAAACUGUCGGGCUUGAGUAUGGGAGAGGUGAGUGGAAUUUCCGGUGUAGCGGUGAAAUGCGUAGAUAUCGGAAGGAACACCUGUGGCGAAAGCGGCUCACUGGACCAUAACUGACGCUGAGGCGCGAAAGCUAGGGGAGCAAACAGG